rnacentral:misc_RNA from 1 species
CCGAGUUAGGGUUCCUCUCACGGGCCCGACCUCCCAACCCUGUGUCUAUCACACCUUGUCGUUGCUUCGGUGGACCGGUCUGGGGACUCUUGUGUUCCUGGCCGCCGGGGGUGUUUGUCACCCCGGGAGAGCGUCCGCCGAUGGCCCAACCACAAACCUUCUUUGUUCCAAACCAGUCGUCUAAAUCAAACCUUGAUAAUAAUCAAAACACA